UUGAGUGGUAUCAUUUUGCGAUUUGACGGAAAAUUACGUUUUUGAGGUUUUGGCGGGAAAAUGUGUUUUUCAGUUUUGUCGGGAAAAUGAAAUUUGCGGUUUUGGCGAGAAAACGCGUUUUGCUAUUUUGGCGGGAAAAUGUGUAUUGCUAUUUUGGCGGGAAAGUGUGUUUUACGGUGUUUGUGCGGUUUUGCAAUUUUUGCGGAAAAUACGUUUUUAGCAUUUUGGUGGAAAA
rnacentral:lncRNA from 1 species